rnacentral:rRNA from 1 species
UCGAGGAUCUUCGGCAAUGGGCGAAAGCCUGACCGAGCGAUGCCGCGUGCGCGAUGAAGGCCUUCGGGUUGUAAAGCGCUUUAGUGGGGGAGAAAAGCCCGAAAGGGUUUGAUCUAUCCCAAAAAUAAGCUCGGGCUAAGUUCGUGCCAGCAGCCGCGGUAAGACGAACCGAGCGAACGUUGUUCGGAAUCACUGGGCUUAAAGGGCGCGUAGGCGGGCUGUCAAGUCUGGGGUGAAAUCCCACGGCUCAACCGUGGAACUGCCUUAGAUACUGACGGCCUCGAGGGAGAUAGGGGCGAGCGGAACUGUGAGUGGAGCGGUGAAAUGCGUUGAUAUUCACAGGAACUCCGGUGGCGAAGGCGGCUCGCUGGAUCUUUUCUGACGCUGAGGCGCGAAAGCUAGGGGAGCAAACG